rnacentral:pre_miRNA from 1 species
UGAGGGGGGAUGUUGUCUGUUUCGAGGUCAUUUAGAGAUUUGAUUCUUCUAAAUGGAGUGUAUUUUUAUUGAAUUCUAAAUGACCUCGGACCAGGCUUCAUUCCUCUCAGC